rnacentral:rRNA from 1 species
GAUGAACGCUAGCGGCAGGCUUAACACAUGCAAGUCGAGGGGUAUAGUAGCAAUACUAGAGACCGGCGCACGGGUGCGUAACGCGUAUGCAACCUACCUUUUACAGAGGGAUAGCCCAGAGAAAUUUGGAUUAAUACCUCAUAGUAUAUGUUUUUCGCAUGUUAGACAUAUUAAAGUUCCAACGGUAAAAGAUGGGCAUGCGUCCUAUUAGCUAGAUGGUAAGGUAACGGCUUACCAUGGCAACGAUAGGUAGGGGUCCUGAGAGGAAGAUCCCCCACACUGGUACUGAGACACGGACCAGACUCCUAUGGGAGGCAGCAGUGAGGAAUAUUGGACAAUGGGCGCAAGCCUGAUCCAGCCAUGCCGCGUGCAGGAAGACGGUCCUAUGGAUUGUAAACUGCUUUUGUACGGGAAGAAACACUCCCUCGUGAGGGAGCUUGACGGUACCGUAAGAAUAAGGAUCGGCUAACUCCGUGCCAGCCGCCCCGUAACAC